rnacentral:rRNA from 1 species
GCUCUGGCCUCAAAUCAGGUAGGACUACCCGCUGAACUUAAGCAUAUCAAUAAGCGGAGGAAAAGAAACUAACAAGGAUUCCCCUAGUAACGGCGAGUGAAGAGGGAAGAGCUCAAAUUUGAAAUCUGGCGGGCCACGUCCGUCCGAGUUGUAAUCUAGAGAGGUGUUUUCCGUGCCGGACCGCGUACAAGUCCCUUGGAACAGGGCGUCAUAGAGGGUGAGAAUCCCGUCCGUGACGCGGACUCCCGGUGCUCUGCGAUACACCUUCGAAGAGUCGAGUUGUUUGGGAAUGCAGCUCAAAAUGGGUGGUAAAUUCCAUCUAAAGCUAAAUACAGGCGAGAGACCGAUAGCGAACAAGUACCGUGAGGGAAAGAUGAAAAGAACUUUGGAAAGAGAGUUAAACAGUACGUGAAAUUGUUGAAAGGGAAACGCUUGGAGUCAGUCGCGUCGGCCGGGACUCAGCCUUGCUUCUGCUUGGUGCACUUCCCGGUGGAUGGGCCAGCAUCGAUUUCGGUCGUCGGAAAAGGGCGAGGGGAAGGUGGCAGUCUCUGACUGUGUUAUAGCCCCUCGUCGUACACGGUGACCGGGAUCGAGGAUUGCAGCACGCCUUUGGUCGGGGUUCGCCCACGCCACGUGCUUAGGAUGCUGGCGUAAUGGCUUUAAACGACCCGUCUUGAAACACGGACCAAGGAGUCUAACAUGCCUGCGAGUGUUUGGGUGCAAAACCCGAGCGCGGAAUGAAAGUGAAAGGUUGGGACCCUUCAGUGGGGCACCGACGCCCGAUCCUGACGUUCUCUGACGGAUUUGAGGCCGAGCAUGUAUGUUGGGACCCGAAAGAUGGUGAACUAUGCCUGAAUAGGGUGAAGCCAGAGGAAACUCUGGUGGAGGCUCGUAGCGAUUCUGACGUGCAAAUCGAUCGU